UAUUGUUCCUUUCCAGCAAUGAUACAUAGC
rnacentral:piRNA from 1 species